rnacentral:rRNA from 1 species
AGUGCAAGCCAGGACUUAUAGAUGGUGACUGGGUAUCUUGUUGACCCGCCGCGGUCUACGGAAAGAAAAGCGUUAAUCAGAAUUACUGGGCGUAAAGAGCUCGUAGGCGGUUUUUUAAGUCAGAUGUGAAAUACCUAAGCUUAACUUAGGAAUUGCAUUUGAAACUAAAUUACUAGGGUUUUGUAGAGGGGGGUAGAAUUCCAGGUGUAGCGGUGAAAUGCGUAGAGAUCUGGAGGAAUACCAGUGGCGAAGGCGACCCCCUGGACAAAGACUGACACUCAUGUACGAAAGCGUGGGGAGCAAACAGGAUUAGAUACCCUGGUAGUCCAUGCUGUAAACAAUGUCAAUUUGAAGGUUGUAGCCUUGAGUUAUAGCUUUCGUAGCUAACGCGUUAAAUUGACCGCCUGGGGAGUACGGCCGCAAGGUUAAAACUCAAAUGAAUUGACGGGGGCCCGCACAAGCGGUGGAGCAUGUGGUUUAAUUCGAUGCAACGCGAAAAACCUUACCUAUUCUUGACAUCCAAAGAAUAAAACAGAAAUGUUUUAGUGCCUUAGGGAACUUUGAGACAGGUGCUGCAUGGCUGUCGUCAGCUCGUGUUGUGAAAUGUUGGGUUAAGUCCCGCAACGAGCGCAACCCCUAUCCUUUGUUGCCAUCGAGUAAAGUCGGGAACUCAAAGGAGACUGCUGGUGAUAAAUCGGGAGGAAGGUGGGGACGACGUCAAGUCAUCAUGGCUCUUACGAAUAGGGCUACACACGUGCUACAAUGGCAUAUACAAAGAGAAGCGA